UACGUAGGGUGCGAGCGUUUAAUCGGAAUUACUGGGCGUAAAGCGUGCGCAGGCGGUUUGCAAAGUCAGCUGUGAAAGCCCCGGGCUUAACCUGGGAAUGGCGGGUGAAACUAGCAGACUAGAAUCUGGCAGAGGGGGGUGGAAUUCCACGUGUAGCAGUGAAAUGCGUAGAGAUGUGGAGGAACACCGAUGGCGAAGGCAGCCCCCUGGGCUGAGAUUGACGGCUCGAGGCACGAAAGCGUGGGGAGCAAACAGG
rnacentral:rRNA from 1 species